rnacentral:misc_RNA from 1 species
GAAAUGCGAUAAGUAAUGUGAAUUGCAGAAUUCAGUGAAUCAUCGAAUCUUUGAACGCACCUUGCGCUCAUUGGUAUUCCUUGGAGCAUGCCUGUUUGAGUAUCAUGAAAUCUUCAAAGUAAAUCUUUUGUUAACUCAAUUGGUUUCUACUUUGGUAUUGGAGGUCUUUGCAGCUUCACACCUGCUCCUCUUUGUUCAUUAGCUGGAUCUCAGUGUUAUGCUUGGUUCCACUCGGCGUGAUAAGUUAUCUAUCGCUGAGGACACUGUAAAAGGUGGCCAAGGUAAACGCAGAUGAACCGCUUCUAAUAGUCCAUUGACUUGGACAAUACUUUUAUGAUCUGAUCUCAAAUCAGGUAGGACUACCCGCUGAACUUAAGC